rnacentral:tRNA from 1 species
CUGGGUGUGGUGCAGCUGGUAGCACGCAUGGUUAGGGACCAUGAGGUCGUGAGUUCAAAUCUCGCCACUCAGACCA